rnacentral:rRNA from 1 species
GACGAACGCUGGCGGCGUGCUUAACACAUGCAAGUCGAACGGAAAGGCCCUUCGGGGUACUCGAGUGGCGAACGGGUGAGUAACACGUGGGUGAUCUGCCCUGCACUUUGGGAUAAGCCUGGGAAACUGGGUCUAAUACCGGAUAGGACUACGCGAUGCAUGUCGUGUGGUGGAAAGCUUUUGCGGUGUGGGAUGGGCCCGCGGCCUAUCAGCUUGUUGGUGAGGUUAUGGCUUACCAAGGCGACGACGGGUAGCCGGCCUGAGAGGGUGACCGGCCACACUGGGACUGAGAUACGGCCCAGACUCCUACGGGAGGCAGCAGUGGGGAAUAUUGCACAAUGGGCGCAAGCCUGAUGCAGCGACGCCGCGUGAGGGAUGACGGCCUUCGGGUUGUAAACCUCUUUCAGUAGGGACGAAGCGCAAGUGACGGUACCUAUAGAAGAAGGACCGGCCAACUACGUGCCAGCAGCCGCCGCAGUAA